rnacentral:rRNA from 1 species
AUGUACAUUCCUACAACAUAGUGUUAAUGCACCAGAUUCCAUUAGAACUCCGCAAUUAAGUGCGCUUGGGCUAGAGUAGUACUGGGAUGGGUGACAUCCUGGGAAUUCCUAGUGUUUUACAUG